GAAUUACUUCAUCCUCUCCCCCACUCUUCACGCCAAAAUCUCCCUUUCAACCUCGAUUUGGACGAAGCGAAACAAAGAUGUCGACGGCGCGCCACCGUUGAUUUUUAUUUGGCUUUAAUAAUCAAAAUAAGAGAGCCAAAACUCUCAAAAACUCCCUCCCCCUUCUCGUGAUUUUUGCCCCCAUUUGCUGUUUGUGGUUUGUGAUCUUAUUACAUGUGGGAAGACGUACGCGGAGGCUGCUAAUCGUGGGCAAGGUCACUGCGACGUGGGGGCGAUGGGGCAAUUACUGCGGCACUGAAGAAGGGAAGCUACUAGGGUUUCAGCUAAAAAUUUGUUUGGGGCCCCAUCGUAUUUGGGUUAGGGUUGUUUGGGUUUUAGUUUGUAAUUUGUGCUGCUGUAAACGAUUUUGGGUUGGUCUUAUUUUGAAUGUGCCUGGCAAAAAUGGACUAUUACAGGUUUAGUUA